GGAAGUUAAGAAAUUGUUUCUUAAUUAACUAAAAAAAUUAAGAACCGGUUUUUAAAUAAGGACUUUAAGAUCCGGUUCUUAAUUUUUUUAGUUAAAAGUUAAAGAAACAAUUUCUUAAUUUCC
rnacentral:pre_miRNA from 1 species